ensembl:lncRNA
UUUUAAAAUAGGUACGUACAAUUUUAUUAAGUAUAAAAAGACACCGUGCAGAGCACAAUACAAUAUAUUUAUUCUUUAAUUCUGGUAGUUCUCAAACUCAACUAUCUUAAUUGAUAUUGUCACCAAUGAGCACUGGAUAGAAUUACUUCUCUUUAUAAAAUGAGCUUCUCUGGAUGAAUUCAUGCUGUUUGGUUUUAAAAAUACAGUUAUUUCCCUUCAAUGGCUACGUACACUAAUCAAACACUGUCAAAACUGUUGGCUAGCCUGCAUUUAGUUUCUAACAUAUGCUGCGAUACUGCCAAUUUCCCCUGUUUUGCUUUGCCUCGCUCUGUUUGAGAAUAGAUCAUUUUAGUCAGAAACAAGUAUUAAUUGUUUCUGAUUCUGUUCCAAGUUCACAACCAGAACACGGGUUCAGACCAUUUCUACAUUCCUCCCGUUACUAAACUUCCACUGACAUCAGCUGGAAUUUCCAACAUGCAAGGACUGCAAAGUUCUCCCCUAAGCUCCUUUUCUCCCCCAAUCUUUUCUAAUGAAGCAUAGAAGGCAUGCUGAAAAUUAUUAUUUUUCUAGAAUUUGGGGGUUCUAUUUUUCUCAUGUUCUUGAAAGUAGGUGACAUUUAUAGCCUUUUAGCUUUGACUAUUUUCUUUGGAAAAGCAGACAUGUAAACUUAAGAACUUAGUUAUAUAUUUUGUUUGCACAUUCCAAUUCCGUUUGAUUAAAAAAAAAAAAAAAAAGUCAGAACUCUUUACUUCAAACUGAUUUAAAGGAUAAUGUGCAAGUCUUAAAAGAAACAACUUACAUUUCCUCCUCCUUAAAAUAUAUUAACAUUAGACUGGAAAAUAAAGAAUACAGAAAAGCUGAGAUUAUGCUAUCACAGUAAUAUCUGCCACACAAAGCUUGGUCUUUUGCUAACAUUAGCUUACUACAUUUGCAAUGCAUGCUAAGCAAAGACCCUACUUCUCUAACAGGUACAUUCAGACAAUAUAUAUUUUAUGGAAUAAAUAUAUAAUAUAUCCAGUUAUAGAUUUCUGAAUAGUAACUAUAAUAGAUACAAGCAAUACCUACGUUUAAAAAUACAUUCUAGGAUUCCCUAACUUUACUACUAAUAAAAUUAAAGUUGACCUAAAACUUUGUCACUCUGUUGAUGCAUAAUAAAAUAUAUGGAAACACCAAGAGUAAAAAGCCAAUUGCUUCUACAAAUGGAAUACUUUUAUAAAUAUAGUAAAUUGCUAUUUCCAGAGGGAAAAUCAAAAAUUAUAAACAGGAAGUUAGUUUAAAACUGCUCUACAAUAUAUAGUACAAAGAGGCUAUGAAGCAUGAUGUAUGAGUUUUGAUGUCUGUGGCAAAAUUUUGAACUGAUGUGGUGGUUCAUUUCUGGAGAUAACUAGAGAAAGAUUCUGUCCCCAAAAGCAGCCAAUCUUGAUCUCCUUAAAAUAAAACUUUCAGUGAGUAGAGAAAGCCAACUGGCCAAUUUCUGAGAGUAAGGAGUGCAAGAUUAGAUCAAACACAGUUAUUUGGAAGCCCUGGACUUUUCUGUUUCACAGGGUUUACCUAUCAUCC